rnacentral:rRNA from 1 species
AGAGGGAAACAACCCUGACCUCCAGCUAAGGUCCCUAAGUCAUGGCUAAGUGGGAAAGGAUGUGGGAAGGCCAAGACAACCAGGAGGUUGGCUUAGAAGCAGCCAUCCUUUAAAGAAAGCGUAACAGCUCACUGGUCUAGUCAAGCCGUCCUGCGCCGAAGAUGUAUCGGGGCUAAAGCCAUGCACCGAAGCUGCGGACUUCUCUUCGGAGGAGUGGUAGCGGAGCGUUCCGUAGGCCUGCGAAGGUGAUCCGUGAGGAUUGCUGGAGGUAUCGGAAGUGAGAAUGCUGACAUGAGUAGCGACAAAGAGUGUGAGAGACACUCUCGCCGAAAGUCCAAGGGUUCCUGCGCAAGGCUAAUCCGCGCAGGGUGAGCCGGCCCCUAAGGCGAGGCCGAAAGGCGUAGUCGAUGGGAAUCAGGUUAAUAUUCCUGAACCAGGUGGAAUGUGACGGAUACUGUAAGUUGUUCUUCCUUAUUGGAUUGGAAGGGCCGCGAAGGUGUCCCAGGAAAUAGCACCACCGUAUUGACCGUACCCUAAACCGACACAGGUGGGAUGGUAGAGUAUACCAAGGCGCUUGAGAGAACUGUGCUGAAGGAACUCGGCAAAUUGCCUCCGUAACUUCGGGAUAAGGAGGCCCACCAUUAAGGCAACUUUUUGGUGGGGGCACAAAAGAGGGGGUGGCGACUGUUUACUAAAAACACAGGGCUCUGCGAAGUCGCAAGACGACGUAUAGGGUCUGACGCCUGCCCGGUGCCGGAAGGUUAAGAGGAGAGGUGAGAGCUUUGAAUCGAAGCCCCGGUAAACGGCGGCCGUAACAAUAACGGUCCUAAGGUAGCGAAAUUCCUUG